AAACAUCCCAGCCCACAUGCGCAGAGAGACCAUAAACGGGGACAAUAAAAUGGACAGUAUCUUAGCUGGCGACGAGUGCUAAGAAGAAAGAAUAAUGAAAGGGCAUUCGGAAGUGUUGGGGGCAGGGUAGGUUUUAUAGAGAGUGGGCAGGGAAGUCCUCACUGGAAGCUUGCACUUGAACGACCUGAAGGAGAGGAAGGAGCAGGUUAUGCAGCAGUGUGGGGAACGGCAUUCCUGGCUGAAGGAACACAAGCGCCUGUGAAACACGGAGGAGGCCAGGUGGCUGGACCAGAGAGAGGAGGGGGCAGAAUAAAUAGGAAAAGAGGAACACCCACUAACUUCUUGUCGGAUCUGAGAGAGUGAAUCAGCCCUGAUAAGCUGACUGUGAAGUUCCCGACGGUCAUAAACAGGGCCAGCGCAAGGCCAACAGAAAAUAGUGUUUUUCCCAACGCCACACCACAGCUGCAGAAUGACUAACACCCCAGCAUAUGAGGAUUUGGCAGCUAGAACAAGGCUGAGCGCGACUGACACAGGAAACAGGCCCGUGGCUGGACUGGCGCCUAAAUGCAGCUGAAUGGGGACACACACCCUUGCUAAGGCAAGGAAGCAGCUGUCAUUCAAAGCACUGGGCUCAAUGUCACCAGUUUGUUUCCUUAUUCCAAGUGUCUUGAUUGCCUUAGGAAGGUAACACUAAUGGCUGGACAUGGUACAACUCAGUCUUAACUUUGUAGUUUGCGUGGCUCUUUAGGAAGAGGGAGAUUUGGG
rnacentral:lncRNA from 1 species